AGAAAACUUCGGGGCGGGGCGUAAAUCCCCACCGGCUGUGUGUAUGAAAAUACGAGCCAGCGAGCCGCAGGGCAUGAUACGGUGCAAUUCCGUAGCCGACAGUAUAGUCUGGAUGGAAGAAGUUUUCU
rfam:Treponema porcinum strain ATCC BAA-908 genome assembly, contig: EI69DRAFT_scaffold00001.1